CAAAACCUUCCCAUCUCCUUUGAGGUCACGCAAAUUGAGGUAAACGUCGAUGGUGUCAACGAAAGCGAAUCUUAAUCAAACCUAACCUACAUGGAUAGCAAUAUAAACCAUGGAAACACUGUGUUCACAUAAACAUUGCUGGGAUCUUGUCCCCUGGACCUUGGAGGACUUUUGUGGAUGAUGAUCAGGGCCUACCAAAGCAAGGUUUCUCAAGCAACUGUGGGGUGUUUGUUUUGAUGG